GACGUAGGGCGCGAGCGUUGUCCGGAUUUAUUGGGCGUAAAGAGCUCGUAGGCGGCUUGUUGCGUCGACUGUGAAAACCCGCGGCUUAACUGCGGGCUUGCAGUUGAUACGGGCAGGCUAGAGUUCGGUAGGGGAGACUGGAAUUCCUGGUGUAGCGGUGAAAUGCGCAGAUAUCAGGAGGAACACCGGUGGCGAAGGCGGGUCUCUGGGCCGAUAUUGACGCUGAGGAGCGAAAGCGUGGGGAGCAAACAGG
rnacentral:rRNA from 1 species